UUGAACGCUGGCGGCAGGCCUAACACAUGCAAGUCGAACGGUAACAGAAAGCAGCUUGCUGCUUUGCUGACGAGUGGCGGACGGGUGAGUAAUGUCUGGGAAACUGCCCGAUGGAGGGGGAUAACUACUGGAAACGGUAGCUAAUACCGCAUAACGUCGCAAGACCAAAGAGGGGGACCUUCGGGCCUCUUGCCAUCGGAUGUGCCCAGAUGGGAUUAGCUAGUAGGUGGGGUAACGGCUCACCUAGGCGACGAUCCCUAGCUGGUCUGAGAGGAUGACCAGCCACACUGGAACUGAGACACGGUCCAGACUCCUACGGGAGGCAGCAGUGGGGAAUAUUGCACAAUGGGCGCAAGCCUGAUGCAGCCAUGCCGCGUGUAUGAAGAAGGCCUUCGGGUUGUAAAGUACUUUCAGCGGGGAGGAAGGGAGUAAAGUUAAUACCUUUGCUCAUUGACGUUACCCGCAGAAGAAGCACCGGCUAACUCCGUGCCAGCAGCCGCGGUAAUACGGAGGGUGCAAGCGUUAAUCGGAAUUACUGGGCGUAAAGCGCACGCAGGCGGUUUGUUAAGUCAGAUGUGAAAUCCCCGGGCUCAACCUGGGAACUGCAUCUGAUACUGGCAAGCUUGAGUCUCGUAGAGGGGGGUAGAAUUCCAGGUGUAGCGGUGAAAUGCGUAGAGAUCUGGAGGAAUACCGGUGGCGAAGGCGGCCCCCUGGACGAAGACUGACGCUCAGGUGCGAAAGCGUGGGGAGCAAACAGGAUUAGAUACCCUGGUAGUCCACGCCGUAAACGAUGUCGACUUGGAGGUUGUGCCCUUGAGGCGUGGCUUCCGGAGCUAACGCGUUAAGUCGACCGCCUGGGGAGUACGGCCGCAAGGUUAAAACUCAAAUGAAUUGACGGGGGCCCGCACAAGCGGUGGAGCAUGUGGUUUAAUUCGAUGCAACGCGAAGAACCUUACCUGGUCUUGACAUCCACGGAAGUUUUCAGAGAUGAGAAUGUGCCUUCGGGAACCGUGAGACAGGUGCUGCAUGGCUGUCGUCAGCUCGUGUUGUGAAAUGUUGGGUUAAGUCCCGCAACGAGCGCAACCCUUAUCCUUUGUUGCCAGCGGUCCGGCCGGGAACUCAAAGGAGACUGCCAGUGAUAAACUGGAGGAAGGUGGGGAUGACGUCAAGUCAUCAUGGCCCUUGCGACCAGGGCUACACACGUGCUACAAUGGCGCAUACAAAGAGAAGCGACCUCGCGAGAGCAAGCGGACCUCAUAAAGUGCGUCGUAGUCCGGAUUGGAGUCUGCAACUCGACUCCAUGAAGUCGGAAUCGCUAGUAAUCGUGGAUCAGAAUGCCACGGUGAAUACGUUCCCGGGCCUUGUACACACCGCCCGUCACACCAUGGGAGUGGGUUGCAAAAGAAGUAGGUAGCUUAACCUUCGGGAGGGCGCUUACCACUUUGUGAUUCAUGACUGGGGUG
rnacentral:rRNA from 1 species